CUACGGGUGGCUCCAGUGGGGAAUAUUGCGCAAUGGGCGAAAGCCUGACGCAGCAACGCCGUGUGAGGGAUGAAGGCUUUCGGGUCGUAAACCUCUGUCAGAAGGGAAGAACGGGUAUUGGUCUAAUAGGCCUUUAUUUUGACGGUACCUUCAGAGGAAGCACCGGCUAACUCCGUGCCAGCAGCCGCGGUAAUACGGAGGGUGCAAGCGUUAUUCGGAAUUACUGGGCGUAAAGCGCACGUAGGCCGCUUUGUAAGUCAGGGGUGAAAUCCCACGGCGCAACCGUGGAACUGCCUUUGAAACUGCAGAGCUUGAAUCCUGGAGAGGGUGGCGGAAUUCCUGGUGUAGGAGUGAAAUCCGUAGAUAUCAGGAGGAACACCGGUGGCGAAGGCGGCCACCUGGACAGGUAUUGACGCUGAGGUGCGAAAGUGUGGGGAGCAAACAGGAUUAGAUACCCGAGUAGUC
rnacentral:rRNA from 1 species